AUUGAACGCUGGCGGCAUGCUUUACACAUGCAAGUCGAACGGUAACAGGCCGCAAGAUGCUGACGAGUGGCGAACGGGUGAGUAAUGCAUCGGAACGUGCCCAGUCGUGGGGGAUAACGCAGCGAAAGCUGCGCUAAUACCGCAUACGAUCUAUGGAUGAAAGCGGGGGACCGAAAGGCCUCGCGCGAUUGGAGCGGCCGAUGUCAGAUUAGGUAGUGGGUGGGGUAAAGGCCCACCAAGCCGACGAUCUGUAGCUGGUCUGAGAGGACGACCAGCCACACUGGGACUGAGACACGGCCCAGACUCCUACGGGAGGCAGCAGUGGGGAAUUUUGGACAAUGGGCGCAAGCCUGAUCCAGCAAUGCCGCGUGCAGGAAGAAGGCCUUCGGGUUGUAAACUGCUUUUGUACGGAACGAAAAGGCUCUGGUUAAUACCUGGGGCUCAUGACGGUACCGUAAGAAUAAGCACCGGCUAACUACGUGCCAGCCGCCGCGGUAAUAC
rnacentral:rRNA from 1 species